GGAUGUGAGGGCAAUCUGGCUGCGACAUCUGUCACCCCAUUGAUCGCCAGGGUUGAUUCAGCUGAUCUGGUUGGCUAGGUGGGUGUUCCUCCCUCACUGCUCCAUGUGUGUCCCAAAGCUGUGCACUCGGUCAAAGAGGACAACCACCCUCAAAAGAGGAGGACCAUUCUUUGGUCAAGGGUAUACAAGUAGGUGUGCUCCCCUGCUAGAACUUCCAAACAAGUUCUCAAGAAAAUAGUUGCACAGCACCAAGUGGAGAGAUGGGAAGAAGAAGAAGGGAUGGAAACCACGCUCCUAAAAUAAAUAAUUCAAUACAAAGAUU
rnacentral:snRNA from 1 species